AGCGGGCUGAUGUCAUCCCUGCGUCACACGGUGGGAUGCUGGCACUGGGCUCUGCUGCUCCUUCACGUGUCGACAGACAUCAGGAGCAGGCAGACUGCCUGCAGCUGCCAGAGCUGGUGAUGGGAAGAGGUGAUCCUCACACUCAUUGUUCUGGCUGCGCACUGGCCAGAGGUGACGGAGCUGUAGCUGUGCUGACCUUUGGGAGACGAUGUGUGCCAGGGCAUCUCUGUAGCAGGCUCAGCUCGGCCCGUCCCCAUGGUGCGAUGCCUGAUGCCCUCGGGCCUCAGUCGGCAGUGUCCCCUGGCCGCAGAGCUGUCCCCCCGCGGGCAGGAGGUGGCAGCAUUGCACAGCCCAGCGGAGCCUGCUCCCCUGCAUGCCCACGCACGGGCUAGUUACUGCCCGGGAGCUGCAGACCUGUUUUUCCUGCUCCUCCAAGGAUACGUGACUCGAGCGCUUGCAGACUGCUCAAAUCUCAUCCAGAGCAAUCAUUAAAAACGACUAAACCCCAAA